GAUGAACGCUGGCGGCGUGCCUAAUACAUGCAAGUCGAGCGAAUGGAUUAAGAGCUUGCUCUUAUGAAGUUAGCGGCGGACGGGUGAGUAACACGUGGGUAACCUGCCCAUAAGACUGGGAUAACUCCGGGAAACCGGGGCUAAUACCGGAUAACAUUUUGAACCGCAUGGUUCGAAAUUGAAAGGCGGCUUCGGCUGUCACUUAUGGAUGGACCCGCGUCGCAUUAGCUAGUUGGUGAGGUAACGGCUCACCAAGGCAACGAUGCGUAGCCGAACUGAGAGGGGGAUCGGCCACACUGGGACUGAGACACGGCCCAGACUCCUACGGGAGGCAGCAGUAGUGAAUCUUCCGCAAUGGACGAAAGUCUGACGGAGCAACGCCGCGUGAGUGAUGAAGGCUUUCGGGUCGUAAAACUCUGUUGUUAGGGAAGAACAAGUGCUAGUUGAAUAAGCUGGCACCUUGACGGUACCUAACCAGAAAGCCACGGCUAACUACGUGCCAGCCGCCGCAGUAA
rnacentral:rRNA from 1 species